ACGAACGCUGGCGGCGUGCUUAACACAUGCAAGUCGAACGGAGAGGCCCUGCUUUUGUGGGGUGCUCGAGUGGCGAACGGGUGAGUAACACGUGAGUAACCUGCCCUUGACUUUGGGAUAACUUCAGGAAACUGGGGCUAAUACCGGAUAGGAGCUCCUGCUGCAUGGUGGGGGUUGGAAAGUUUCGGCGGUUGGGGAUGGACUCGCGGCUUAUCAGCUUGUUGGUGGGGUAGUGGCUUACCAAGGCUUUGACGGGUAGCCGGCCUGAGAGGGUGACCGGCCACAUGGGGACUGAGAUACGGCCCAGACUCCUACGGGAGGCAGCGGUGGGGAAUAUUGCACAGUGGGCGGAAGCCUGAUGCAGCAACGCCGCGUGCGGGAUGACGGCCUUCGGGUUGUAAACCGCUUUCGCCUGUGACGAAGCGUGAGUGACGGUAAUGGGUAAAGAAGCACCGGCUAACUACGUG
rnacentral:rRNA from 1 species